rnacentral:rRNA from 1 species
GAUGAACGCUGGCGGCGUGCCUAAUACAUGCAAGUCGAGCGAACGGACGAUAAGCUUUCUUCUCUGAUGUUAGCGGCGGACGGGUGAGUAACACGUGGAUAACCUACCUAUAAGACUUGGAUAACUUCGGGAAACCGCUGCUAAUACCGGAUAAUAUUUUCAACCGCAUGGUUCAAAAGUGCAUGACAGUCUUGCUGUCACUAUUAGAUGGAUCCGCGCUGCAUUAGCUAGUUGGUAAGGUAACGGCUUACCAAGGCAACGAUGCAUAGCCGACCUGAGAGGGUGAUCGGCCACACUGGAACUGAGACACGGUCCAGACUCCUACGGGAGGCAGCAGUAGGGAAUAUUGCGCAAUGGGCGAAAGCCUGACGGAGCAACGCCGCGUGAGUGAUGAAGGUCUUCGGAUCGUAAAACUCUGUUAUUAGGGAAGAAAAGAAGUAUAAGAAAAUGUGGACAUCUUGACGGUACCUAAAGAGAAAGCAACGGCUAACUACGUG